GUUGAGUUUGAGCUGCUACCGCUGGGCCCACCUUGUCAGCAGGCCCGGCCGGUGUGCCUCGUGCGUGUGUGUGUAAAAAAUAAGUAAAUAAAUCUUAGUCCGUGUAAAAGUAAAGCUGGGGGAACGGAGAAGCUGGCACAUGAAGCUGUAGCGAAGUUGGGGGAACAGAGAAGCUGGCGAAGCCGGGCGGAGGCAGGCGCCAAGGGGGCCGGUGGUGGGGCGGGGCAGGGCCGGCGGCACCACGGACACGUCAGCCGGGCGCGGAGAUGGGCCUGUAAGGACCUGUGAUUAACGUGAACCCUGCGAAAUACACGUACUUGGGUCAUGUGUCAUUAAUAAAACACCGCGUCCGACUGCUACAGGACUAGAGACGCACCGUAUUCGAGUACACAUUUUCACAAAAUGGGCAAGUUCCCGAAACGCUAGCCCCUUUCUGGUGUGGAUGUAAAUGUGGUGGAUGCUUGGGUAGAUUUCCAGCCACAACCCUGGCACUGGUCCGAUUCAAAGUUCUUUCCAGUUUUGAUCAAACGAGGUUUCUGUUCUUCAUAGGAACCACCUGGGAAUAGCAAAAUUCAGUUCUUCUGAAGAAAGGGAGUCUGUCUGACUGGUGUGAGGUAACUGAGGAACAUUCUGUGGUAAUGAGUCCAAGAACUCACUUCGACGACUA